rnacentral:misc_RNA from 1 species
GAUGAAGAACGUAGCGAAAUGCGAUAAGUAGUGUGAAUUGCAGAUUUCAGUGAAUCAUCGAAUCUUUGAACGCACAUUGCGCCCGCCAGUAUUCUGGCGGGCAUGCCUGUUCGAGCGUCAUUACAACCCUCAGGCCCCCGGGCCUGGCGUUGGGGAUCGGCGGAAGCCCCCUGCGGGCACAACGCCGUCCCCCAAAUACAGUGGCGGUCCCGCCGCAGCUUCCAUUGCGUAGUAGCUAACACCUCGCAACUGGAGAGCGGCGCGGCCACGCCGUAAAACACCCAACUUCUGAAUGUUGACCUCGAAUCAGGUAGGAAUACCCGCUGAACUUAAGCAUAUCAAUAAGCGGAGGA